UCCCUGGUGGCUAAGAGGGUAUAGAGUCAGCCUGCAAUGCGGAAGACCCAGGUUUGAUCCCUGGGUCGGGAA
rnacentral:tRNA from 1 species